GAACGCAUAUUGCGCUCUCUGGUAUUCCGGAGAGCAUGCUUGUUUGAGUAUCAGUAAACACCUCAACUCCCCUUUCUUUUUUUGAAAUGGGAGCUGGACUUGAGUGAUCCCAACGCUUUUCUCACCGAAAAGUGGCGGGUUACUUGAAAUGCAGGGGCAGCUGGACUUUUUUCUGAGCUAAAAGCAUAUCUAUUUAGUCUGCCUAAAAAACAGAUUAUUACCUUUGCUGCAGCUAACAUACAGGGUAACUGUCAGUGUUCCGACUGAUGCAGGAAAGUUGAGAUGGGUUCUUCGGAACCUGGCUCUUCUAAACUCGAUCUCAAAUCAAGUAAGAAUACCCGCUGAACUUAAG
rnacentral:misc_RNA from 1 species